rnacentral:rRNA from 1 species
CGCAUACGUCCUACGGGAGAAAGGGGGCUCCGGCUCCCGCUAUGGGAUGAGCCUAUGUCGGAUUAGCUAGUUGGUGAGGUAACGGCUCACCAAGGCCACGAUCCGUAGCUGGUCUGAGAGGAUGAUCAGCCACAUCGGGACUGAGACACGGCCCGAACUCCUACGGGAGGCAGCAGUGGGGAAUAUUGGACAAUGGGGGAAACCCUGAUCCAGCCAUGCCGCGUGUGUGAAGAAGGCCCUCGGGUUGUAAAGCACUUUCAGCGAGGAAGAACGCCUAGCGGUUAAUACCCGCUAGGAAAGACAUCACUCGCAGAAGAAGCACCGGCUAACUCCGUGCCAGCAGCCGCGGUAAUACGGAGGGUGCAAGCGUUAAUCGGAAUUACUGGGCGUAAAGCGCGCGUAGGUGGCUUGAUAAGCCGGUUGUGAAAGCCCCGGGCUCAACCUGGGAACGGCAUCCGGAACUGUCAAGCUAGAGUGCAGGAGAGGAAGGUAGAAUUCCCGGUGUAGCGGUGAAAUGCCUAGAGAUCGGGAGGAAUGCCAGUGGCGAAGGCGGCCUUCUGGACUGACACUGACACUGAGGUGCGAAAGCGUGGGUAGCAAACAGGAUUAGAUACCCUGGUAGUCCACGCCGUAAACGAUGUCGACCGGCCGUUGGGUGCCUAGCGCACUUUGUGGCGAAGUUAACGCGAUAAGUCGACCGCCUGGGGAGUACGGCCGCAAGGUUAAAACUCAAAUGAAUUGACGGGGGCCCGCACAAGCGGUGGAGCAUGUGGUUUAAUUCGAUGCAACGCGAAGAACCUUACCUACUCUUGACAUCCUGCGAAUUUGGUAGAGAUACCUUAGUGCCUUCGGGAACGCAGAGACAGGUGCUGCAUGGCUGUCGUCAGCUCGUGUUGUGAAAUGUUGGGUUAAGUCCCGUAACGAGCGCAACCCUUGUCCUUAUUUGCCAGCGCGUAAUGGCGGGAACUCUAAGGAGACUGCCGGUGACAAACCGGAGGAAGGUGGGGACGACGUCAAGUCAUCAUGGCCCUUACGAGUAGGGCUACACACGUGCUACAAUGGUCGGUACAAAGGGUUGCCAACUCGCGAGAGUGAGCCAAUCCCGAAAAGCCGAUCUCAGUCCGGAUCGGAGUCUGCAACUCGACUCCGUGAAGUCGGAAUCGCUAGUAAUCGUGGAUCAGAAUGCCACGGUGAAUACGUUCCCGG